CUAAGAUAGUAAGAGCAUACGGUGGAUGCCUUGGCGAUAUCUGCCGAUGAAGGACGCGACAAGCUGCGAAAAGCUGCGGAGAGGUGCAAAUGACCAUUGACCCGCAGAUCUCCGAAUGGAGCAAUCCGGCAGGGUUUAUCCCCUGUCACCCAUAUCUUCGAAUAUGGGAGGGAACCGGGCGAACUGAAACAUCUAAGUAGCCCGAGGAAGAGUAAUCAAACGAGAUACCCCAAGUAGCGGCGAGCGAACGGGGCCCAAGCCCAAACCGGUGAAGGAAACUUUGCCGGGGUUGAGGACUGCCAUACGAACUCAACCAUUAGCCGAAAUUCCUGGGAAGGAAUGCCGUAGAAUGUGAAAGCCAUGUAAGCGAAAAUGGAAAAGGGACAGGCAGCACCAGAGUACCGCGGGACACGAGAAACCCCGUGGGAAGCCGGGGGGACCACCCUCCAAGGCAAAACACAGAUAUCGACCGAUAGCGCAUAGUACCAUGAGGGAAAGGUGAAAAGCACCCCGGGAGGGGAAUGAAAUAGAACCUGAAACCGUAUGUUUACAAGCAGUCGAAGACCGCUUAAUAAUAAGGUCAACGGCGUGCCUAUUGAAGAAUGAACCGGCGAGUUAUGAGGUCCAGCAAGGUUAAGCAGGAAAUGCGGAGCCGAAGCGAAAGCGAGUCUUAAUAGGGCGACAAGUUGGAUUGCAUAGACCCGAAACCACAGUGAUCUACCCAUGUCCAGGCUGAAGCACAGGUAAAAAUGUGUGGAGGGCCGAACCUAUAUCCGUUGAAAAGGGUUAGGAUGAGGUGUGGGUAGGGGUGAAAUUCCAAUCGAACGUGGAGAUAGCUGGUUCUCCCCGAAAUAGCUUUAGGGCUAGCCUCGAGGUAGAGAUUGCAGGCGGUAGAGCACUGAUCAGGAGAGGGGCCUACCCGGCUACCAAACCCAGUCAAACUACGAAUGGCUGCAAUUAUACUCGGGAGUCAGACUACGACUUAUAAGGGCCGUGGUCAAAAGGGAAACAGCCCAGAUCAUCAGCUAAGGUCCCAAAUGCCGUGCUAAGUGGCGAAGGAUGUGGCGUUUCAUAAACAACCAGGAUGUUGGCUCAGAAGCAGCCACCAUUUAAAGAGUGCGUAAUAGCUCACUGGUCGAGAGACGCUGCGCCGAAAAUGUCCGGGGCUCAAGCACGGAACCGAAGCUAUGGCAUGAUAGCAAUAUCAUGGGUAGGGGAGCGUUCUUAACAGGAAGAAGCAUGACCGGAAGGACAUGUGGACCGUUAAGAAGUGAGAAUGCCGGUAUGAGUAUCGAAAAGAAAGGUGAGAAUCCUUUCCACCGAAAGCCCGAGGGUUCCUGAGCAACGAUCGUCGUCUCAGGGUAAGUCGGGACCUAAGCCGAGGCGGAGACGCAUAGGCGAUGGACAACAGGUUGAAAUUCCUGUACCGGAUACAAUCGUUUGAGCGAUGGAGCGACGCAGAAAGGCAUAUGAUCGCGCGACUGGAAGAGCGCGUCCAAGUGCGUAUGUUGAAUCGGAGGCAAAUCCCUGAUUCUAAAAGCAGAGACACGAUGGGGAGUUAUACGAAAGUAUGACGAACUCAUAGAUCCUACACUGCCAAGAAAAACUUCUAGUGAGAAAGUAUCCGCCCGUACCGUAAACCGACACAGGUAGGCGGGGAGAGAAUCCUAAGGUGCGCGGGAAAACCCUCGUUAAGGAACUCGGCAAAUUGCAUCCGUAACUUAGGGAGAAGGAUGACCUUAAGUAAGCGAAAGGGAGAAACCCCUGGAACAGAACAAGGUGGCAGAAAAGAGGCCCAAGCAACUGUUUACCAAAAACACAGGUGCCUGCGAAAGCGAAAGCUGAAGUAUAGGUGCUGACGCCUGCCCGGUGCUGGAAGGUUAAGGAGAGAUGUCAGAGCAAUCGAAGCAUUGAACUGAAGCCCCAGUGAACGGCGGCCGUAACUAUAACGGUCCUAAGGUAGCGAAAUUCCUUGUCGGGUAAG
rnacentral:rRNA from 1 species